rnacentral:rRNA from 1 species
GCUUGCUAAUCUUGAGACCGGCGCACGGGUGCGUAACGCGUAUGCAACCUACCUUUUACAAAGGGAUAGCCCGGAGAAAUUCGGAUUAAUACCUUAUAGUAUUGUUGAUAAUCAUUUAUUAACAAUUAAAGUUUCGGCGGUAAAAGAUGGGCAUGCGUCCUAUUAGCUAGAUGGAGUGGUAACGGCACCCCAUGGCAACGAUAGGUAGGGGUCCUGAGAGGGAGAUCCCCCACACUGGUACUGAGACACGGACCAGACUCCUACGGGAGGCAGCAGUGAGGAAUAUUGGACAAUGGACGCAAGUCUGAUCCAGCCAUGCCGCGUGCAGGAAGACGGCCCUAUGGGUUGUAAACUGCUUUUAUACAAGAAGAAUAAGACUUACGUGUAAGUUGAUGACGGUAUUGUAUGAAUAAGCACCGGCUAACUCCGUGCCAGCAGCCGCGGUAAUACGGAGGGUGCAAGCGUUAUCCGGAAUCAUUGGGUUUAAAGGGUCCGUAGGCGGGCUAAUAAGUCAGGGGUGAAAGUUUGCAGCUCAACUGUAAAAUUGCCUUUGAUACUGUUAGUCUUGAAUUAGUAGGAAGUGGUUAGAAUAAGUAGUGUAGCGGUGAAAUGCAUAGAUAUUACUUAG